rnacentral:rRNA from 1 species
CCUACGGGGGGCAGCAGUGGGGAAUAUUGCGCAAUGGGCGAAAGCCUGACGCAGCGACGCCGCGUGAGGGAUGAAGGUCUUCGGAUCGUAAACCUCUGUCAGCAGGGAAGAACGGUCACUGUGCUAAUCAGCAGUGAAUUGACGGUACCUGCAAAGGAAGCACCGGCUAACUCCGUGCCAGCAGCCGCGGUCAUACGGAGGGUGCGAGCGUUAAUCGUAAUUACUGGGCGUAAAGCGCUCGUAGGCGGUAUGUCAAGUCAAGGGUGAAAUCCCCGCGCUCAACGUGGGAACUGACUUUGAAACUGGCAAACUGGAGUGUGUGAGAGGAGAGUGGAAUUCCAGGUGUAGGAGUGAAAGCCGUAGAGAUCUGGAGGAACAUCAGUGGCGAAGGCGACUAUCUGGCACAUAACUGACGCUGAGGAGCGAAAGCGUGGGUAGCAAACAGGAUUAGAUACCCGAGUAGUC